AUGGCCAACUCAAAUGAUCUAUGGGAGAAGAAGUUGCAGGAUCCAAGUGCAACACCAGUGCCUCUGCCAUUUGAAUUUCUGAAAGCCAUUACAUGUGAUUUUUCCAGUGAGCAGGAACUCGGCAGAGGUGAGCAUGGAGUGGUUUACAAGGGAGUUCUUCCGAGUGGAAAAAUUAUUGCCGUGAAGAAGCUUUUUCAAACACAUCUGAUGGAUGAUAAGAAAUUCCAGAAUGAGCUCAGUUCUCUCAUGGGGAUCAAGCACCAAAAUGUAGUGCAGCUUAUUGGUUACUGUGCCGAAACAAGUUUUGAAAUGGUGAACCUCCAAGGUAGUGGGAAACAUAUUAUGGAUGAAAUACCAAAGAGAUUGCUUUGCUUUGAAUAUGUAGGCAACAGAAGCCUUCAUGACUACAUCUCAGGUAAAAUCAGAGAAACGCUGGAGUAG
rnacentral:rRNA from 1 species